rnacentral:rRNA from 1 species
UAGGGAAUCAUCCACAAUGGACGAAAGUCUGAUGGUGCAAUGCCGCGUGAGCGAAGAAGGUUUUCGGAUCGUAAAGCUCUGUUAUGAGGGAAGAACAAGUACAAGAGUAACUGCUUGUACCUUGACGGUACCUCAUUAGAAAGCCACGGCUAACUACGUGCCAGCAGCCGCGGUAAUACGUAGGUGGCAAGCGUUGUCCGGAAUUAUUGGGCGUAAAGCGCGCGCAGGCGGCCUUUUAAGUCUGAUGUGAAAGCCCACGGCUUAACCGUGGAAGGUCAUUGGAAACUGGAAGGCUUGAGGACA